GAUGAACGCUGGCGGCGUGCUUAACACAUGCAAGUCGAACGUGAGGGUGCAGCAAUGUGCCUGAAAGUGGCGAACGGGUGAGUAACACGUAGAUGACCUGCCCUGGAGUGGGGGAUAACCAUUGGAAACGGUGGCUAAUACCGCAUACAUCCAUAUUUCUGGGAAGAGAUGUGGGGAAAGCUCUGGUGCUCUGGGAGGGGUCUGCGUCCGAUUAGCUAGUUGGUGGGGUAAAGGCCCACCAAGGCGACGAUCGGUAGCUGGUCUGAGAGGACGAUCAGCCACACGGGAACUGAGACACGGUCCCGACUCCUACGGGGGGCAGCAGUGAGGAAUAUUGGGCAAUGGGCGAGAGCCUGACCCAGCAACGCCGCGU
rnacentral:rRNA from 1 species